rnacentral:rRNA from 1 species
UACGGGGGGGGCAAGCGUUGUUCGGAAUUACUGGGCGUAAAGGGCUCGUAGGCGGCCAACUAAGUCAGACGUGAAAUCCCUCGGCUUAACCGGGGAACUGCGUCUGAUACUGGCAGGCUUGAAUCCGGGAGAGGGAUGUGGAAUUCCAGGUGUAGCGGUGAAAUGCGUAGAUAUCUGGAGGAACACCGGUGGCGAAGGCGGCAUCCUGGACCGGUAUUGACGCUGAGGCGCGAAAGCCAGGGGAGCAAACGGG